rnacentral:rRNA from 1 species
UGGGGAAUUUUGCACAAUGGGGGAAACCCUGAUGCAGCGACGCCGCGUGAUUUAGAAGGCCUUCGGGUUGUAAAAAUCUUUUCUAUGGGAAGAAAAUGACAGUACCAUAGGAAUAAGGACCGGCUAAUUACGUGCCAGCAGCCGCGGUAAUACGUAAGGUCCGAGCGUUGUCCGGAAUCAUUGGGCGUAAAGGGUACGUAGGCGGGUAAGCAAGUUAGAAGUGAAAUCCUAUAGCUCAACUAUAGUAAGCUUUUAAAACUGCUCAUCUUGAGGUAUGGAAGGGAAAGUGGAAUUCCUAGUGUAGCGGUGAAAUGCGCAGAUAUUAGGAGGAAUACCGGUGGCGAAGGCGACUUUCUGGCCAUAACCUGACGCUGAGGUACGAAAGCGUGGGUAGCUAACAGG